rfam:Thiotrichales bacterium SG8_50 WOR_8-12_16053, whole genome shotgun sequence.
UCCGACAAAGGCAAACCUGACCAAAGUCAGGGACGCAAAGCCACGGGUCCUCGCUUCCUCCGAGAAGCCAAGGAUGACUCCCCGAAGGACCCAAGAUCGCCGGGCUGCCGAUC